ACAUGCAAGUCGAGCGGAGCGCGGGGGCAACCUGGCGGCGAGCGGCGAACGGGUGAGUAACGCAUCGGAACGUGUCUCUAGUGGGGGAUAACUCACCGAAAGGUGAGCUAAUACCGCAUGAGCUCUGAGGAGGAAAGCGGGGGACCUGCAAGGGCCUCGCGCUGGAGGAGCGGCCGAUGUCCGAUUAGCUAGUUGGCGGGGUAAAAGCCCACCAAGGCGACGAUCGGUAGCUGGUCUGAGAGGAUGAUCAGCCACACUGGGACUGAGACACGGCCCAGACUCCUACGGGAGGCAGCAGUGGGGAAUUUUGGACAAUGGGGGCAACCCUGAUCCAGCCAUGCCGCGUGAGUGAAGAAGGCCUUCGGGUUGUAAAGCUCUUUCGGACGGAACGAAACGGGCGGAGUUAAUAACUCUGUUCACUGACGGUACCGUAAGAAGAAGCACCGGCUAACUACGUGCCAGCAGCCGCGGUAAUACGUAGGGUGCGAGCGCUAAUCGGAAUUACUGGGCGUAAAGCGUGCGCAGGCGGUUUUGUAAGCUGGAGGUGAAAUCCCCGGG
rnacentral:rRNA from 1 species